GGGAAAUCGUCCACACGCACACAGGCGCGCCCCGCCCUCCCCGCCCAGCCAGCGCACGCCCCGCCGCCGAGCCAGCCGCCAGCCUCAGUUGUAGUCCUGCUGCGAUUAAGAGUAAACAUGAGAGACAGAGAGAGAGAAAACAGGUGAUAAAAGUGAGAGAAAAUGAUAUAAAGAUGGAGCGACUUUCAGGUAACAGAGGCAAAAAGGCAAAGGAAUAAGGUGCCUCACCAGUAGGAGGAGCAUUUAAUAUGAGGCACAUGAGGUCCCUCUUGUAAGGAAAGAUACAUCACUGGACAAUUUGUUUCAACACUUGCUUGCAAUGCCA
rnacentral:lncRNA from 1 species